rnacentral:rRNA from 1 species
GGGUCAGUAGGUUGGUCGUGCCACCGGUACGUACUGGUCUCACUGAUUCCUCCUUCCUGAAGAACCGUAAUGCCGUUAAUUUGGUGUUGCGGGGAAACAGGACUGUUACUUUGAAAAAAUUAGGGUGUUUAAAGCAAGCUAACGCUUGAAUACAUUAGCAUGGAAUAAUGAAAUAGGACGAUCGAUCCUAUUUUGUUGGUUUCUAGGAUUGACGUA